UACAGAGGUGGCAAGCGUUGUUCGGAAUUACUGGGCGUAAAGGGCGCGUAGGCGGGUCUUUAAGUCAGGGGUGAAAUCCUGGAGCUCAACUCCAGAACUGCCUUUGAUACUGAGGAUCUUGAGUACGGGAGAGGUGAGUGGAACUGCGAGUGUAGAGGUGAAAUUCGUAGAUAUUCGCAAGAACACCAGUGGCGAAGGCGGCUCACUGGCCCGUAACUGACGCUGAGGCACGAAAGCGUGGGGAGCAAACAGG
rnacentral:rRNA from 1 species